rnacentral:rRNA from 1 species
UACGGAGGGAGCUAGCGUUGUUCGGAAUUACUGGGCGUAAAGCGCACGUAGGCGGCUUUGUAAGUUAGAGGUGAAAGCCCGGGGCUCAACCCCGGAAUUGCCUUUAAGACUGCAUCGCUUGAAUCCGGGAGAGGUGAGUGGAAUUCCGAGUGUAGAGGUGAAAUUCGUAGAUAUUCGGAAGAACACCAGUGGCGAAGGCGGCUCACUAGACCGGUAUUGACGCUGAGGUGCGAAAGCGUGGGGAGCAAACAGG